rnacentral:rRNA from 1 species
AGUGAACGCUGGCGGUAGGCCUAACACAUGCAAGUCGAACGGCAGCACAGUAAGAGCUUGCUCUUACGGGUGGCGAGUGGCGGACGGGUGAGGAAUACCUCGGAAUCUACUUUUUCGUGGGGGAUAACGUAGGGAAACUUACGCUAAUACCGCAUACGACCUACGGGUGAAAGCAGGGGAUCUUCGGACCUUGCGCGAUUGAAUGAGCCGAUGUCGGAUUAGCUAGUUGGCGGGGUAAAGGCCCACCAAGGCGACGAUCCGUAGCUGGUCUGAGAGGAUGAUCAGCCACACUGGAACUGAGACACGGUCCAGACUCCUACGGGAGGCAGCAGUGGGGAAUAUUGGACAAUGGGCGCAAGCCUGAUCCAGCCAUACCGCGUGGGUGAAGAAGGCCUUCGGGUUGUAAAGCCCUUUUGUUGGGAAAGAAAAGCAGCAGGUUAAUACCCCGCUGUUCUGACGGUACCCAAAGAAUAAGCACCGGCUAACUUCGU